AUCUAGAUAUAUACCUCAUCAAACUAUUCAUGAGGUAUAUAUCUAUAGUUAAAUACCUCAUGAAUAGUUUAAUGAGGUAUUUAUCUAGA